GGUGCAUUUCUCUACUGUAUCCUACUUUUUCUUUUACUCUUUUUGGCAUAAUUAUAUCUAGGUGACGUGGAGCAGAAACCUUUGCUUAAAGUUGUAGUAUUUUUCACCUACCCUGAACAUUAACUGACUCAAUAGAGAGCAGCAAGCUAGUAGCUGGUAGAAGACAGGAGAGAAAGAGACUGAGCUCCACUAGGGAAAGUGUAGGACAGUGGCAUUAGUUCAGAUACUAGAAAUGAGUAUUUUAUCCAGUCUGGCACAGAGUCAAGAAAGCACAAAACUUUCAGUUUAAUUCUAUUCAAAUCAUGGCUUUGAAUAUGACAUGUCAAGACAGUACAGUUCAAUGAAGAUGAAGACAUAUGUGUGUCCUUCUCUUGGGGCAGUCAUUUUGGGCAGUGAAGGUGCUCUGUAGAAGGAACUUUAAAAUUUUUCCUUUGUUCUGAUACUCCAAAUGGUUAAAAAUAAGUGCAGUUAUAUUGAAAACACCCCACAGGAAGAAUUCCAGGAAGGAUGCGUGAAAGGAUUGAAUCAUGAAUUGCUUUACCUGUAUCUUAUAUCUUCUUACUAACCUUUCAAUAUUAUUUUGCAAGCAAAAAUUGACACCCAAAUAUCAAGAAGUGAUUUUUUUUUUCAAGUGUCACAUUACCGAACAGAAGCUUAAAUGAUUAGUAAACGUUCAGAUUUGAGAACAAAGCGGCUCUAUUUCUAUAGCAUUCUUAAGUCCCUGCAGGACAGUGAAUUCCAACAACCUGGCCUCACAGUGACUUCCUCUGGAGCAGAAUGAAACAGCAGGCCAUAAAGCACAGAGUCUUGACUUGCUGGGUGAAGGUCACUUCGAUGCCUUUUGGGAGAUAUUUCAACCACACUAAAACCGGUAAAGUAAAAAUCAAAAUGUUUGAGGGGCAGCAGCAAUAGGGCAAUCAUUCCCUUUUCUAUCUUUUCAUAGCAUCAGCGUGACAAAUCUCUUACAGUGAAAAUAACUCUGAAUUGCCCACAGCUGCCAGGUGAGAAGACAGACAGUGCAGCUUUGGUUUCGGGCGGAUGAACAGGUAAAAGGGU
rnacentral:lncRNA from 1 species